GACGAACGCUGGCGGCGUGCCUAAUACAUGCAAGUAGAACGCUGAAGGAGGAGCUUGCUUCUCUGGAUGAGUUGCGAACGGGUGAGUAACGCGUAGGUAACCUGCCUGGUAGUGGGGGAUAACUAUUGGAAACGAUAGCUAAUACCGCAUAAUAGUAGAUGUUGCAUGACAUUUGCUUAAAAGGUGCAAUUGCAUCACUACCAGAUGGACCUGCGUUGUAUUAGCUAGUUGGUGGGGUAACGGCUCACCAAGGCGACGAUACAUAGCCGAGCUGAGAGGGGGGUCGGCCACACUGGGACUGGGACACGGCCCAGGCUCCUACGGGGAGCAGCAGUAGGGGAACUUCGGCAAUGGGCGGAAAUCUGGCCGAGCAACGCCGCGUUAGGGGAGAAGGUUUUCGGAUCGUAAAGCUCUGUUUUAAGGGAAGAACGAGUGUGAGAGUGGAAAGUUCACGCUGUGACGGUAUCUUACCAAAAAGGGACGGCUAACUACGUG
rnacentral:rRNA from 1 species